rnacentral:snRNA from 1 species
AUACUUACCUGGCAGGGGAGACACCAUGAUCAAGAAGGUGGUUUUCCCAGGGCGAGGCUUAUCCAUUGCACUCCGGAUGUGCUGACCCCUGCGAUUUCCCCAAAUGCGGGAAACUCGACUGCAUAAUUUGUGGUAGUGGGGACUGCGUUCGCACUCUCCUCU